rnacentral:rRNA from 1 species
GACGGAGGGGGCUAGCGUUGUUCGGAAUUACUGGGCGUAAAGAGCACGUAGGCGGCGGUGCAAGUUGGGGGUGAAAUCCCGGGGCUCAACCCUGGAAUUGCCUCCAAAACUGUGCUGCUUGAGUUCGGAAGAGGAGAGUGGAAUUCCCAGUGUAGAGGUGAAAUUCGUAGAUAUUAGGAAGAACACCAGUGGCGAAGGCGGCUCACUGGUCCGGUACUGACGCUGAGGUGCGAAAGCGUGGGGAGCAAACAGG